GAUGCCUUCACCCGAGUAACAUUCAAUUAAAAAAAAAAAAAGAGGUUGCUUUGUUUCUUCUCAAACCACACCACGGCAGCUCCAUUUCCGGCGAAUUUCCAGCGAAGCUCCGGCAGAUGAGGGCGCUCCAAGCUUGAAACCUACACCCACACUCCAUUGGGUUAAAGAAAAGAGAAGGAUUAAGGUUCAAGUGUGGUUCUUGAACCAAUUCAAGUGGAGACUUUGCUUUCUUGAUUUGGUGAAACUAACAAGUUUCAAGGUGAGUCUAGUUCUGGUACCAGGGUUGCGGAUCAGGAGGAGCGUGCGUGACAUGGAUAGGCCCCUAGAGAGUAAUAGGACUAGAUGGUUCUAGAAUUUGAUUACGUUACUAGUAUUUUGUCAUACUUGUUUUUCUUGUUUGAGACAUGUUGUGUGAUACCUCAAUUCGAUGGUGGAUGGACGGUUGGAAGGGUGCUCCGUGUGAUCGGGACUCCCGAAUCGAAUUUGUGGACUUCGUGUCCUGAUAAUUGAUUAUGCAUGCAGAAUUGCUCUUUACAUUGGUU